rnacentral:lncRNA from 1 species
CGGUGGUUCACUUUUUCUAAGUAAUGGGAAAGAGGACCGAAACAUGCCACUGAAAGACUCUACUGAGACAAAGAUGGGCUGUCAAGAACGUAGAGGAGGUAGGAUGGGUACUUGGUCAGAUCUAGUAGGGAUCGUACAUGGACGGUAGUUGGAGUCGGCGGCUCUCCUAGGGUUUCCUCAUCUGGGAUCCUGGGGAAGAGGAUCA